rnacentral:rRNA from 1 species
UAAUACGAAGGGUCCAAGCGUUAUCCGGAUUCAUUGGGUUUAAAGGGUGCGCAGGCGGGGCCUUAAGUCAGUGGUGAAAUCUCUUCGCUCAACGAAGAAACUGCCAUUGAUACUGAGGUUCUUGAAUCUAGUUGACGUUAGUGGAAUGUGUCAUGUAGCGGUGAAAUGCUUAGAUAUGACACAGAACACCGAUCGCGAAGGCAGCUAACGAAGCUAGUAUUGACGCUCAGGCACGACAGCAUGGGGAGCAAACAGG